CUAAACUCAAAGCAUUGUCCCGUCUCUUCAUCGUCUUCCUCACCCCCAUAUUCUCCUCCAUCUGAUACACCAGCCACCGCCUUAGGAAAGUACAAAGGACAUAGCCGCCGCCAUGGGUAAGUAGGAGGUGUCAACAGCCUUGGAAAUCAAGUUUCAGAUUGGUGAUUCCCCAAAGCUAUGAAGCUAGAGCUGGAACCCUAGAAUCAGGAGCUGGAACUCUAGAAAUCUGGAGGUGGCAAGUCUAGUACCUAUAUGGUUCCUUGAGUUGCUAGAUACAUAGAUAAACAAGGGAGAGAGAGAAAAAGAGGGUUUUGGUAUCUUAGAAGUGGAGGAGUAAAAAGUCAGGAACUUGUUUUCAUCCGGAUACUUAACGUGAAAAUCAAUCGAGGUGACAAAUAAAUAUGUUUGAAGUUAUUUUACUGCAAGGGUGUUUUUAAUAAUGUAAUAUACAUGUGUGUUAUUGUUAAUCAUGCUUGGAUUCCUAGACAAGAACUUGGAAUAUAGUUGACCUUUUGUUGUAAAUGUUGGUGUAAACCCCUCUUGUAAUAAAGGUUGUGUUUCAAUUU